rnacentral:rRNA from 1 species
GUGCCAGCAGCCGCGGUAAUACAGAGGUCCCGAGCGUUGUUCGGAUUCACUGGGCGUAAAGGGUGCGUAGGUGGUGAGGUAAGUCGGAUGUGAAAUCUCGGAGCUCAACUCCGAAACGGCAUUGGAAACUACCUUGCUGGAGGGUUGGAGGGGGGACUGGAAUGCUUGGUGUAGCAGUGAAAUGCGUAGAUAUCAAGCGGAACACCGGUGGCGAAGGCGAGUCCCUGGACAACACCUGACACUGAGGCACGAAAGCUAGGGGAGCAAACAGGAUUAGAAACCCCCGUAGUCC